rnacentral:lncRNA from 1 species
GCAUGUAGGUGCUUUAUCCACAUUACUGACCCUUGGAAGCUACCGAGUAGGUAAGUGGAGAAAUGAAUGGUGUUGCAUUCAGCAAUCGAGUAGCAUUCAGUGCUAGAAGGGGAUGCCCAAGCCAUGAAAAGAUAAAUGUGUAUUACUAAGCGAAAGAGCCAAUCUGAAAACUCUAAGUAUAGGAAAAAAGAUGGCCAUCGGUUGCCAGGGACUAGGCGUAAGGGAAGGGAAAAAAAUGAAUGUGCAGAACACAGGCGAGAGAAGUUCUGAGUCAACUGUUCUGUGACAUCGCAAUGGCUCAUGGAUCCCUACUCAUUUGUCAAAAGUGACAGGUGCCAGUGUGAGGUGACAAUGGUGUCUCAACGCUGGGUCACCGACGGUGACAGAUGUGCUGCUGGGUCCAGGAUGUGGACACCGGGGAAGAGUGGAGUAGAGGGUCGGUGGAAACUCCACUUUCCACUCAGCUUUGUUUUAAGGCUAAAGCUGUUCUUUAAAGAAGUUCACACUUGUGAACAGUUUGCCUGUCUGCAGCCUGGACAAGGCCAGGCUCACCUCACACAGCGGAGCCUGCAGGGGAGCUGA